rnacentral:rRNA from 1 species
UACAGAGGGUGCAAGCGUUAAUCGGAAUUACUGGGCGUAAAGCGCGCGUAGGUGGUUUGUUAAGUUGGAUGUGAAAGCCCCGGGCUCAACCUGGGAACUGCAUCCAAAACUGGCAAGCUAGAGUACGGUAGAGGGUGGUGGAAUUUCCUGUGUAGCGGUGAAAUGCGUAGAUAUAGGAAGGAACACCAAUGGCGAAGGCGAACACCUGGAAUGAUAACGACACUGAGGUGCGAAAGCGUGGGGAGCAAACAGG